rnacentral:rRNA from 1 species
GGGCCCGCACAAGCGGUGGAGCAUGUGGUUUAAUUCGAUGCAACGCGAAGAACCUUACCAAGCCUUGACAUCCUCGGAACUUUCCAGAAAUGGAUUGGUGCCUUCGGAACCGAGUGACAGGUGCUGCAUGGCUGUCGUCAGCUCGUGUCGUGAGAUGUUGGGUUAAGUCCCGUAACGAGCGCAACCCUUGUCCUUUAGUUGCCAGCACUUCGGGUGGGAACUCUAAGGAGACUGCCGGUGAUAAACCGGAGGAAGGUGAGGACGACGUCAAGUCAUCAUGGCCCUUACGAGUAGGGCUACACACGUGCUACAAUGGGGAAUACAGACGGACGCUAAGCCGCGAGGUGGUGCU